rnacentral:rRNA from 1 species
UACGGGGGGGGGCAAGCGUUGUUCGGAAUUACUGGGCGUAGAGGCUCGUAGGCGGCCAACUAAGUCAGACGUGAAAUCCCUCGGCUUAACCGGGGAACUGCGUCUGAUACUGGAUGGCUUGAGGUUGGGAGAGGGAUGCGGAAUUCCAGGUGUAGCGGUGAAAUGCGUAGAUAUCUGGAGGAACACCGGUGGCGAAGGCGGCAUCCUGGACCAAUUCUGACGCUGAGGAGCGAAAGCCAGGGGGAGCAAACGGG